rnacentral:rRNA from 1 species
CUUGGUCUUUAGAGGAAGUAAAAGUCGUAACAAGGUUUCCGUAGGUGAACCUGCGGAAGGAUCAUUACAGAGUUCAUGCCCUCACGGGUAGAUCUCCCACCCUUGAAUACCUUACCUUUGUUGCUUUGGCGGGCCACGUUCGCGUGUCGGCUUCGGCUGGCUGUGCCCGCCAGAGGACCCAAACUCUUUUUGUUUAGUGAUGUCUGAGUACUAUAUAAUAGUUAAAACUUUCAACAACGGAUCUCUUGGUUCUGGCAUCGAUGAAGAACGCAGCGAAAUGCGAUAAGUAAUGUGAAUUGCAGAAUUCAGUGAAUCAUCGAAUCUUUGAACGCACAUUGCGCCCCUUGGUAUUCCGAGGGGCAUGCCUGUUCGAGCGUCAUUAUGACCACUCAAGCCCGGCUUGGUGUUGGGGUCCGCGGUCCCGCGGCCCUUAAAAUCAGUGGCGGCGCCAUCUGGCUCUAAGCGUAGUAAUACUCCUCGCUAUAGGGUCCCGGUGGAUGCUUGCCAUCAACCCCCAAUCUCACGGUUGACCUCGGAUCAGGUAGGGAUACCCGCUGAACUUAAGCAUAUCAAUAAGCGGAGGA